AGAGUUUGAUCCUGGCUCAGAAUCAACGCUGGCGGCGUGCCUAACACAUGCAAGUCGCACGAGAAAGUGGAGCAAUCCAUGAGUAAAGUGGCGUACGGGUGAGUAACACGUGACUAACCUACCCUCGAGUGGGGAAUAACCUCGGGAAACCGGGGCUAAUACCGCAUAACAUCUUCUGGCUGAGAUGCCGGUUGAUCAAAGUAGUAAUGCGCUUGAGGAGGGGGUCGCGGCUGAUUAGCUAGUUGGUGAGGUAACGGCCCACCAAGGCUAUGAUCAGUAGCCGGCCUGAGAGGGCGCACGGCCACACUGGAACUGAAACACGGUCCAGACUCCUACGGGAGGCAGCAGUGGGGAAUUUUGCGCAAUGGGGGAAACCCUGACGCAGCAACGCCGCGUGGAGGAUGAAGUCCCUUGGGACGUAAACUCCUUUCGAUCGGGACGAUUAUGACGGUACCGGAAGAAGAAGCCCCGGCUAACUUCGUGCCAGCAGCCGCGGUAAUACGAGGGGGGCAAGCGUUGUUCGGAAUUAUUGGGCGUAAAGGGCGCGUAGGCGGUGCGGUAAGUCUGAUGUGAAAUCUCCGGGCUCAACUCGGAGUCUGCAUCAGAAACUGCCGUGCUGGAGUGUGGGAGAGGUGAGUGGAAUUCCCGGUGUAGCGGUGAAAUGCGUAGAUAUCGGGAGGAACACCUGUGGCGAAAGCGGCUCACUGGACCAUAACUGACGCUGAUGCGCGAAAGCUAGGGGAGCAAACAGGAUUAGAUACCCUGGUAGUCCUAGCCCUAAACGAUGAUCGCUUGGUGUGACAGGUACCCAAUCCUGUCGUGCCGGAGCUAACGCGUUAAGCGAUCCGCCUGGGGAGAACCGUCGCCAGGCUGAAACUCAAGGAAUUGACGGGGGCCGCACAAGCGGGGAACAUG
rnacentral:rRNA from 1 species